CCGUCAAUACGAGAGUAAGAAUCUUGAACUGUAGAAUAUUGGGUAUAGGAAACUGUAAAGUAGGGCUCCCCACAAAACCUUGAACAAUAAAGCAAUAUAAAUGACAUAACAAACAAUAAGUGUGUCUGAGAAAAACUCUGCAUUCGUAUUUACAAAUGUAGUGCAGAUAGGAAAAAAAGUAAGAUAAAAAGACACUUCCUUGCAGUGCCUCGAGUGAUGACGCUUAUAGCUUCUUUCCUGGAUGAGCACUCCAUAAUGGUGUGUCUCUCAGUCAUAUAUCAUUAAACAGUGUGACCCUUGUAUACAGUAGUACAACAGCGUAAUAACUUAUCAAUGCUAAAAAUCAAGAAAUUCAAGAAAUAUAUUUAUGAGCAUCUUGUUACAUUGGCAACAUAAGGUGAAAUGAAUGCACAAAUGUUGUUGAUGGAAACAGUAUAUGAUAGUUAG